UACGAAGGGGGCUAGCGUUGCUCGGAAUCACUGGGCGUAAAGGGUGCGUAGGCGGGUCUUUAAGUCAGGGGUGAAAUCCUGGAGCUCAACUCCAGAACUGCCUUUGAUACUGAGGAUCUUGAGUUCGGGAGAGGUGAGUGGAACUGCGAGUGUAGAGGUGAAAUUCGUAGAUAUUGGGAGGAACACCAGUGGCGAAGGCGGCUCACUGGACCGGAACUGACGCUGAGGCGCGAAAGCGUGGGGAGCAAACGGG
rnacentral:rRNA from 1 species